rnacentral:rRNA from 1 species
UGAGGAAUUUUGCGCAAUGGGAGAAAUCCUGACGCAGCAACGCCGCGUGGGUGAUGAAGGCCUUCGGGUCGUAAAGCCCUGUCAGGUGGGAAGAAUGUCCCGGGACUGAACAGGGUUCGGGAGUGACGGUACCACCAGAGGAAGCACCGGCUAACUCCGUGCCAGCAGCCGCGGUAAUAAGGAGGGUGCAAGCGUUAUUCGGAAUUACUGGGCGUAAAGCGCGUGUAGGCGGUCCCGCAAGUCUGUUGUGAAAGCCCCGGGCUUAACCCGGGAAGUGCAUUGGAAACGGUGGGACUUGAGUACUGGAGAGGAUGGGGGAAUUCCCGGUGUAGAGGUGAAAUUCGUAGAGAUCGGGAGGAAUAUCAGUGGCGAAGGCGCCCAUCUGGACGGUAACUGACGCUGAGACGCGAAAGCGUGGGGAGCAAACA